rnacentral:rRNA from 1 species
ACUGAAAAGCUUCGGCGUUGUAGUCUGGAGAAGUCAAAUCAGCUUAUAAUUUCGAGUAAAGUCUCCUGGAACGGAGCGCCGUGGAGGGUGAUAGCCCCGUUCAUGCUUGAAAUGAAAAGUGUACGAUUGGCUUUCUAAGAGUCGAGUUGUUUGGGAUUGCAGCUCUAAGUGGGUGGUAAAUUCCAUCUAAAGCUAAAUAUAAAUGGGAGACCGAUAGCGAACAAGUACCGUGAGGGAAAGAUGCAAAGAACUUUGAAAAGAGAGUUAAAUAGUACCUGAAAUUGCUGAAAUGGAACCGAUGGGAGGCAGUGUCGGCUGGGUAGUACUUGUACUAUCUAGCAGUCAGGCUUCUUUAAUUAUGUGGGAAAGGCUUCUAGACCUGUAUGGGAUAGUUUUGCUGUCAUGUGAUUGAAGGACUCUGACGAAAUGCCUCUUAUCAACCCGUCUUGAAACACGGACCAAGGAGUCUAACAUGUGUGCGAGUGCUCGGGGUAAAACUCCCAGCGCGGAAUUAACGUAAAGGUGGAUUUAUUCACUGAGGUAGGAUCUGUAAAGUGCACUAUCGACCGACCAUGAUCCUUCGGGAGAAAGGUUUGAGUGUGAGCAUACAUGUUGGGACCCGAAAGAUGGUGAACUAUGCCUGAGUAGGGCGAAGCCAGGGGAAACUCUGGUGGAGGCCCGCAGCGAUUCU